rnacentral:lncRNA from 1 species
AUAUUAUUGUCCCAUAUAAGCCCUGAACCUAUUCCCAAUUGAGACAUGAGGUUUCAGGGAUUGGGAGAGGUCUGAUUCCAGAGCCCUAACUCAGCUGUCACGUUAGUGACUUUUCUGUGUCCUUGCUGCUCAGAGUGUGGUGCAGAAUCUCGGCCUUCCUCCGCAGACCUACACUUUACCAAGACCCUCCGUGACCGGGUGCUCCAUGUUCCGGGUGUGGUUCCCAGGUGGCUUUCCUUCAGUCACCGAGUGCUUGAGAAAAUGCCACUAACAUGGGGUCCGUUCCAGGUGUGCUGAAUAAGAUUCUUUGGGAGUGGGACCCAGGUUUUUGGACUAUCCUGAUGAUACACUGACACCUGAAAACCAGCGCUCUGUGACAUUCCUUCCUUUUAAGGUUUAUCUGGGGCUCCAGGCUUUCUUUUGGAACUGGAAGAUGUAACCUAAGAUGGGAGGAAAUGUGUCCUUUGAGGGGUCCUAAGGAGACAUUCGCUUGUUGCUGAUUUGGAAGCUUUCAACUUUCCUGUCAGAGCCACCUCAUCACUUCCAUUCAGUUCAGCAGAUAUCUGCUGAGCCUUUAUACUUGGCAUCAGAAUCAGGGGGACCGAUUUUCACGUGAGAAGCUGAGGUCCAGGGAUGGCAAAUGUCUUCUCCAAAGGCAAGUGGUGAGUGGCGCUCCAGGAAUUUGAGUCAUUUAAUCUGAUCUCAAAGAACAUGCCUCAAAAUGGCCUUGGACCACAGUUCCUUCCCACAAGACAUUAAUUGUUUGAACUCAUCAAAAAAGAAGAGUCAAUGACUCCAGUUAAUUCCGGGAGCAGGAAUCUAUCUUUUUGCCUACAUUAACUGGAUGAAUGAGAUGUUAUGUGUGAAAAAUGGAAUUUUUUACCUCAGUGCGUUGCUCAAGGUGGGCUCUUGGUCUUGUCUGCCUGAUCUUGUGAGUAUGUUAAGAUUCCCUCCUGGUUGUGUUCUUCCAGGCCAAGUCCUGCUUUAAUAAAACAUUUUUAAGGGGUUUAAUGAUGGCAAGGAAUCUAAAAGCUAAAUGGCA